rnacentral:rRNA from 1 species
AAGUCGAACGGUAACAGGUUAAGCUGACGAGUGGCGAACGGGUGAGUAAUGCAUCGGAACGUGCCCGAUCGUGGGGGAUAACGCAGCGAAAGCUGCGCUAAUACCGCAUACGAUCUGAGGAUGAAAGCGGGGGACCGUAAGGCCUCGCGCGAUCGGAGCGGCCGAUGUCAGAUUAGGUAGUUGGUGGGGUAAAGGCUCACCAAGCCAACGAUCUGUAGCUGGUCUGAGAGGACGACCAGCCACACUGGGACUGAGACACGGCCCAGACUCCUACGGGAGGCAGCAGUGGGGAAUUUUGGACAAUGGGCGAAAGCCUGAUCCAGCAAUGCCGCGUGCAGGAAGAAGGCCUUCGGGUUGUAAACUGCUUUUGUACGGAACGAAACGGUCUGCUUUAAUACAGCGGGCUAAUGACGGUACCGUAAGAAUAAGCACCGGCUAACUACGUGCCAGCAGCCGCGGUAAUACGUAGGGUGCGAGCGUUAAUCGGAAUUACUGGGCGUAAAGCGUGCGCAGGCGGUUAUAUAAGUCAGAUGUGAAAUCCCCGGGCUCAACCUGGGACCUGCAUUUGAGACUGUAUAGCUAGAGUACGGUAGAGGGGGAUGGAAUUCCGCGUGUAGCAGUGAAAUGCGUAGAUAUGCGGAGGAACACCGAUGGCGAAGGCAAUCCCCUGGACCUGUACUGACGCUCAUGCACGAAAGCG